rnacentral:rRNA from 1 species
UAGCAUAUCAAUAAGCGGAGGAAAAGAAACCAACAGGGAUUGCCUCAGUAACGGCGAGUGAAGCGGCAAAAGCUCAAAUUUGAAAUCUGGCUCCAUGCGGAGCCCGAGUUGUAAUUUGGAGAGGACACUUCGGGUGCGGCCACGGCAUAAGUUCCUUGGAACAGGACGUCAUAGAGGGUGAGAAUCCCGUCUUUGGCUGCUGGACCGCGCCCAUGCGAAGUUCCUUCGACGAGUCGAGUUGUUUGGGAAUGCAGCUCUAAGUGGGUGGUAAAUUUCAUCUAAAGCUAAAUAUUGGCCGGAGACCGAUAGCGCACAAGUAGAGUGAUCGAAAGGUUAAAAGCACCUUGAAAAGGGAGUUAAAUAGCACGUGAAAUUGUUGAAAGGGAAGCGCUUGCAACCAGACUCGGUCGUGGGGGCUCAGCGGGCAUGCGUGCCCGUGUACUCCCCCAUGCUCCGGGCCAGCAUCAGUUCUGGCGGUUGGUUAAAGGCCUCUGGAAUGUAUCGUCCUCCGGGACGUCUUAUAGCCAGGGGCGCAAUGCGGCCAGCCGGGACUGAGGAACGCGCUUCGGCACGGAUGCUGGCAUAAUGGUUGUAAGCGGCCCGUCUUGAAACACGGACCAAGGAGUCUAACAUCCACGCGAGUGUUCGGGUGUCAAACCCGUGCGCGCAGUGAAAGCGAACGGAGGUGGGAGCCCGCAAGGGUGCACCAUCGACCGAUCCUGAAGUCUUCGGAUGGAUUUGAGUAAGAGCGUGGCUGUUGGGACCCGAAAGAUGGUGAACUAUGCCUGAAUAGGGUGAAGCCAGAGGAAACUCUGGUAGAGGCUCGCAGCGGUUCUGACGUGCAAAUCGAUCGUCAAAUUUGGGUAUAGGGGCGAAAGACUAAUCGAACCAUCUGGUAGCUGGUUCCUGCCGAAGU